rnacentral:rRNA from 1 species
UCGGGGUACUCGAGCGGCGAACGGGUGAGUAACACGUGAGUAAUCUGCCCCUAGCUCUGGGAUAGCUCCGGGAAACCGGGAUUAAUACUGGAUACGACCACCUUAGACAUCUUUUGUGGUGGAAAGAAUUUCGGCUAGGGAUGAGCUCGCGGCCUAUCAGCUUGUUGGUGGGGUAACGGCCUACCAAGGCGACGACGGGUAGCCGGCCUGAGAGGGCGACCGGCCACACUGGGACUGAGACACGGCCCAGACUCCUACGGGAGGCAGCAGUGGGGAAUAUUGCGCAAUGGGCGAAAGCCUGACGCAGCGACGCCGCGUGGGGGAUGAAGGCCUUCGGGUUGUAAACCCCUUUCAGCAGGGACGAAGCGAAAGUGACGGUACCUGCAGAAGAAGCGCCGGCUAACUACGUGCCGGCAGCCGCGGUAACACGUAGGGCGCAAGCGUUGUCCGGAAUUAUUGGGCGUAAAGAGCUCGUAGGCGGUCUGUUGCGUCCGCUGUGAAAACUCGGGGCUUAACCCCGAGCCUGCAGUGGAUACGGGCAGACUAGAGGUAGGUAGGGGAGAAUGGAAUUCUCGGUGUAGCA